ensembl:lincRNA
AUGGUCAGUAAUGAAAGUUGCAGCCCGGUGGGCCAUUGAGAAAGACGGAGUGCCCAGUGACCAUUAUCCUUGCAAGGAUAGAGAAUGAGCAAAACAGCCAUAGAGUUGGAAGUUACUCCAAUCACUUAAAUUACUUACUGCCUUGAGAGUCUUUUAAAUGGAGGGAGAAGGCUGGGAGGGAGGAGACAGGGAAGUGAGAAGAGGUGUUGCAUUCAUGCACCCACGCCCCGCGAGGAAGGCAGUCAUGUACACGCACACACUCGCUAAUAAAACACAAGCCCGUUUAAAGAGGAAAUACCUCAUAAUGGAAAGAAAGAAGAUCCCCCGCAGGGUGGGGAUGGGCAGCACAGUGCAGCUCUCUGGGAUUCAGAAUCCAGCUGCUGGAAAACAACAACUUACUGAAGCAAAGAAUAGAAGCAGAGCACCAGGAACUGGAGAGGAACUGACAGAAAAAAUUAGAAGCUACAGAGAAGCUGGAAAGACACCCCAAGGAAGUGACCUGAUUCUCCCCUCAGAGCUUGUGUUGGGGGGAACCAGCCCGCCCCAAACAAGGCAGCUGCUCUUUCCAGUGAUUGUUUCGGCUUGGACAACCGGACCGUGGGAUUCUUUUCUUCCUUUUGCCACUAAAUGCCUGCGCACAGCCCGAGUUCUGGUGCAGGGAGAAGGGUGGAGCUUUUUGCCUGAGGAUGGCCGUUUCCCUUGGCAGGAUGAGGGCAGAGUGCGUGACGUCUCCACCACCGGGGUCGCAGUACAAGACAGCUGUGAAGAGGAGAGCGGCCUCAGAUCUGGGCCCUGCUUACCCAGCACCUGUGCAGACCAGAGCUGCUCAAGGGCCCAUCUGGGACGCCGUGAGAAGCUUGUGCUGCAGGCCAGAUCAAUACUCUGCGGCUUUCAUGGAGCAAAUCUAGCUAUGAAAAAAGUAAGAGGCAGCUGAGCUAAGCAGCGAACUCACCGGUACAGUCACUGUUCUGUCACUGGGACGCAUCUGAUGCCUACAAGUCGAAGGAGGAGAGGUUUACUUUCGCUCGGUUUCAGAGGGCUCCGUCCAAGCGUAGUUUCUCUGCUCCAAGACGGGAAGCUGUGAUGGUGGAAAAGCUGCCCAGCCCAGGGCCACCAGAAGGAGGAGGGAUGGAGGGGAGUGAGGGGAGCCUCGUCAAGGGGUCCUCCUCGGUCCGUGGCAGGAAUGAGUGGUUUCAAAGUUGACGAGGUUCUCGGGGAAAUGUUCUACUGUUUAACUUGAGAGGAAAAGGGGAGAGAGAGGGGAAGGCAGGGAGGAGGACGGGGGUUGGGGAGAGAGGGGAGGAGGAGGGUAGAGAACGAUGAGAACCCUCCGAGGUCGGCCCCAGGGGUUGCCCUGCAAUCCCGCCUCUUAAGAGUACUCUGCUGCCGGACUCACAGGAAUGAACGCCCACAGCGCAGUCACCCUCCAGACACACGAGCUCAUUCAGGCCCAGGCUGUAACAGUUGACCCUCGUCACGGCCCCAGCUCCUAUUCUGUCAUUUCUGGAUAACGAUUCCUCAGUCUGAGGGUUGUGCUUUGAGGUGCCCUCCUUCCACAGUUAGUUCUGCUUGCCCCGGGCAGUAGGUGCAAAUGUGUGUGUUCAGGGGCAGGUAGAUCACUUAGAGUGAGCAGGAAGGUAAAUCAAAGAGCACGAUGAAGACCUAAACUGAGGUGGUGCUGUUGCUGCGCAGAACAAUAGAUUCCAGAAAUACCAAGUGUACCAGCGGGGUGUGGAGAACGGAGGAUGAAAGAUGCGUCUUGUUCACUGACUGAGUGUCUGGGUAGACGGUAGUGCUGUCAGCUGAAGAAAAGCUCAUGGGAGGAGGGACAAGGGGACUUAGUGGAGAGUUUACAGAAUUAUACAGUGGUGCUGUGCAUGUGCAGUGGGCGAGUGACAGGUGGAUGGCUAGGCGGUGAACUGGACUGUCCAGGUCUGGCAGUCUGUACGUGAGGGCAGUGGUUACAGGAACCAUAGAAGGACCUAACCACACUCACAGGAGGGGCAGUGGUCAAGACAAACCCUGGAGGCAAACAAGAUCUCCUUGAUGGAUCUGGCGGUCCGGGAGAGGGAUGUUCCUGGGAGUGCAGUGGUCAAGGAGGCUUCUGAAACUCUGAGCUAACAAAAUCUUCAGAAGGUGCAGAAAGAUAUCAAUUAAAUUGCCUCCCAGGAAUCAUUAAUUUGGAUCCCUUUGAAGAAAGCAGGAACAUAGGAGUGGUGGAGGCCAUAGCACUGGAGAAGUAAGUAAAACUCAGAGUCUCAGACCAUGCAGUGAGCUGGGAAGCCCCCUUCUCUUUGAGUCCUAAUACUACUCUGAGAGACGGGAAGCCAGUUGAGGGAUACUCUGUGAUGCUUUCAGCUCUCACAGUCCAUAAUGACACACACCAUUUGAGUACCUACUAAGUGGAAGGCACAUCAUUUUCAUGAGUUUUCUGCAAAGUACUGGCACCCCAUUUUCCCGAGGCCAAGAAAGUUUAAGUAUCAUGCCAAGGUUCACAUAGCCAAUGAAUUUCUGAGCUGAGAAUUAAAAACUAAGUUUGACAACAAAACCCACAUUCAUUUUCUUAUGCUGUGCUGUACAGUGGUGUUAAGAAGAGACAAGGCAUGAGACAGAAUGUGAAUUGAAUUUUGGUAGUACAUCAUUUAUAAGAGCCAUCUUUGCUAUGUUUUCAUAGGCAGUCUCCUUUAAUAAAAACCAGAAUGUUCCUUUUGAGGAACAUAAACAAAAUUUAGUGUGAGGCCUUUGAACUACUCUACUAUUAGGUGUAUAAAAAAGACCAAGUUGAUCAGCAAGUGACAAGGAAAGAGGGAAUUUUACAUAGAUAGAAACAAAAUCAAUACUUGCAUAAGAGUUUAUAGAAGUAAUGCAUUCUUCUGUUAAACAUCUCUGAAGAUUAGUAGUCAAUAGGUGUAGAAACUCUUGGGGCAUCUUUCUUGUUCACAGGAGGUAUAGGUGAUAUCUGAAGCCACUUAUCUGAUAUCAUAAGAGAAGAGCUCAUGCUUUCUCAGGGGGUCCUCCUUGGAGUAUGUGGUAGGAAUGAUUGGUUUCAAAAUUGGCCAGCUUCUCGGGGGAAAUGUUCUACUUCUUACCCAGAGAGAAAGAGAGAAAUGUUUAGAGUAUAUAGCAUUUUAAAGAGCCAGUCAUAGUACUGGGCUUUGGAUAACUGGGUAAGUAGGUUUAACCAAGGAUUCAGAAACUUUCUGAUAUGGCUAAGUGUCCAUUUUGUGAUGGCUUGUACCUAGAUAUCCCCCUGCCCAAAGCCUCAUGUGCUCAUAGAUGGAGCUUUUCAGAGGUGGUUGGAUCUAGGGUGUGUGAAUAUAGAUUAAAGGUGUGUGGUUAUGGAUUAAGGGCGUGCUAACUAAAUUAGUCCACUAGCUGGUUUAGUAUACUUCUGGUAUGGAUAAUGGGAAGACCUACUCUGGGUAUGGCACCAAACAAAAGCCUUGCAGCCUGGAUGAGAUAAAAGGGAAAAGGCUCAAUGCUGCUGCCUCCUGCCUACUCUGCCAGAGACUGUUCCUCCUCUGUGAGGCCCCCUACCAUGUUGCCCUGCCUUGGAGCCAGCCAACCCUGGGCUGAAAUAUCUAUGAACUGUGAGCGAAAAAUAAACCUUUCCUCCUUUAACUUGUGGGUAUUGAUUAUUUCAACUAUGCAAUGAGAAAAUGAACUAAAACACCAUUCUACAUGUUUUUUUCUGGUGUAUAUACCCUCGCCCCAGCAGCCUUGCAACUGCUUCUUAUGUUCCCAAA